UUGUCAACCAUAUUAGCUCCCUUCAAAGGGAAUUAUUGUACUUUUUUUCCGCUCUCUCUUCCUCUUUACAUGACUGACUCCUGAGUUAUUGGAGGGGAAUGUCUUUUAGCUGGCUUUCCUCACUCCAUGAGUCAGUAGCAUGCAGUCGACCGCGUUUUCGUAGACGUUGUGUGUUAGCCAUAAUCCGAUGCGUUCAUCACAUGUAGACGCAUAACAUGUGAGGUAAGCACGUUCUCUUGGGUCCGCUCACCUCUUUACAUGACUGGAUGGCGAUGUACUCGGCGAAGAUCUUCUUGGCCUUGGACGCCAUCUUGGACUGGGACUUGACCUUCUUGUAGUCCUCGCAGGCCAACCAGAACUCCAGGUUCUCCUCGCUGAACUCGGUGCGCAGGAACGCUCGGAACGCUGCCAGGCCAUCUGAGAGGAGAGGAGGAGGAGGAAACGGGAGACUGUCAGACUA